GUGUGCUUCAGCAACACAUAUACUAAAAUUGCAAAGAUACAGAGAAGAUGAGCAUCGCCCCAACACAAGAGUGACAGGCAAAUUUAUGUAUGAAACCUUCCAUAAUUUU